AAUCUACACUUAGUAUUAAAAUAAAUUGUAACAUAACAGUACAUAUCUUACUACAUUGGAUGACUAACAAUAUAAGACAGUAGACAUUAUUGGCUUUCUUGGGGCUACUCAUUCACUUAAAAUAAUUUGAAAUAAAUAUAAGCCAAAAUCUACAUUUCACCCCUAUGUUCUAUUUUUAGCCAUGGCGGCCAACUUGGUUGGUUGGCCGGCUCGAGCCACACAUUUUUUAAACUAGAUACCCCAAUGAUGAUUGUGGCCAAGUAGUUUCAGAGUUUCGGGCCAGGUGAGCUAAAAAACGAGAAACUAGAAACAUGUAUAAAUUACAUAAACAAACGACAACUACUGUACAUCAGAUUCCUGACUUAGGACAGGUGCAAACAUUUGCAGCGGGAUUAAAUGUUUUAACGGUACCAAACCUUCUCCCUUUUUCUGAAACAAUAGUAUAACAUCACAACAUAGAAAAACACACGGUAAAAUAUCAAUUGGAAGGCUUAACUCAUAAAAAACGUAAAUUAACACACUAUGAACGAAUAAAUUUGAUCUGCGAUACCUGAAUGCAUUGAUACCGUAAAUCUUCGUAGCUCCAAGUUUUGAUUCAUAUAGGUGCAACCCUACACCUGAAUUGUAAAUAUGCUCUACGUUGAGCGGGAGAUAACAGAUUUUUAAAAUCAAGUUCACAAUUAAUUUCGGUUUUGAAUGUUCCAAAUCCUCCAUUUAUUACAUAUACCAUUUACAUACUCUAUGGAGAACAUCUGACCAUUUAGUUUUAUAAUCGGUUAAAAGUUAUAUUCUAUUUUUGCUAACACUGUCGUUUUAUGAAGGUUUGUGAAAUUAUACCAGUCACUAAUACUACAAGCAUACCCACUAUUACCAGUCACUUAUAUUACACGAAUACCGACUAGGUUUGUUUUUGCGUUUGUUGCACAUGGAAAUCUUUCAAGAUUUUUUUUAUUAUCGAUCAUCAAUUUAUGUUGGUUUUUUUAUCUUUAUUCGAUCAUCAAUUUAUGUGUUCAGAUGUCAUUGUUUUAUUCAAUGAUUUUUCAGUUUAUCUGACUUCUUCUUUAUUCUAAGGUAAUCCUUUGAUGAAGAAAAAGCAUCUAACAAAUAAACAGUAAAUAACUUUUUUUUUUUAAAUAAUUAAUAUACGCUAAGUGUAAGAAAUGUGUUUUCUUUACAACAAAAUACAGGUAAAUCUUAAAUUAAAAAUUAACCUUGAUUGUUAAAAAAACAAAUUAAUUAUCAAAACAUCUAUUGUUCUCUGUAUGUGGGAAUAGAAGGAAUAGUGAGUUUUAAAAAGUGACACCAGCAAAAUCUAUAGACAACAAUAGCUUACUGGGUUAUAGUCUCAGAAAUCAAUCAUUCAUAACAAUUCAAAUCAACACAAAUAUUAUGUCUGUACAUUACGUAACUGUAAACCGCGCUUGUACAAUACAACUCAAUUUCAGCUUAUCUCAACUGAUUACAAAAACAGAAAAAUAUUUGUAACCAGUAAGAAUAAGCAACACAAUUAUUUUAAUUAGAGUAAGCUGCUUCAAAUCAAUACAAAGACAUAAAUUUUAAUGCAAUUUACAAUGCAUCUUUAUUACGUGUAUUUUCAAGGUUAUCGGACAUUCCUAACGUGUAAAAAAGAUACGUCAGAUGUAAAAUUAUUUUCGAGGUUCUGAUUCAUUUUGCAAUAAACUGAUAGUAAACCAUUGGUUAAAAAAUUAGUUCCGGAUGACUAGUUCUAGAUAUCGGUCGUCUACUCCUCCAGUGUCAUACAUAUUAAAAAAAUACUAAUUAUUCCACGUCUCUCUCAAGUUUGUUAAGGCAUCCUGUAAAAGUCCAAUCUAUGAUUAAAAUUUCAAAACUCAACAGUUUUCACAAAUAUAUUACGUAUUGAAAUAAUGUUCAUGACCUUUUAUUUGUCUAGAAAUUGUUCAAAUAAAUUAUAUCGCUUAUGAAAAGCACCCUUCAUAAAACUGAAAAUGAGACUUAUCUAUCAACUAUUAGUUUAUUAUUUAAGCAACACAAGAUCAAGCGUUGGUAGAAAUUCAAACAAACAAAAACAAUUAAAUUAUGCUAUAUAUAAUAGUACACUGACUUUUAAUACUUUAUACAUUACUGACCUCAAGGUGGCAUUGAUGCAUACAAAGAAUAGCUUGAUAUAACACAAGUAUCCAGUAACAUAAUAUAGGAUGAGCAAAAUGCUUGAUAUGGGAUAUUUAGGUAAGGAAUGACUGUAUCUAAUAAUUUUUUUUAUGAAGAAAUAACAUCAAACAUGUGGUAAAUAACCCGUUAUUUUAAAGUGUGCAUCACAUUUGUUUUAUUUUUUUUCGAAUAGACAGAUAAAUAUCACAGUUAUUUCUUACAAUCUAAUUUUAAAUUCCAUUUUAAACCGAAUUAAACCAUGAAAAAAAACGUCAAUGAUGUCACAGUCACACGACACAAUUAUGUCUCAGAGCUAAUAAACAUUACAACGUCAGCCGAUCAUAAGACGCGUUUCAUCCAAAAUUUGAUAAUUAUUUGAUUGAGUGUUAUUUUUCUGGAUAAAGGAUUAUCAUAUUUUGUAUGGGAAUAUUUGAUAAAUUGAGGAUAAAAAUACUAAAAUGUUA
rnacentral:lncRNA from 1 species